AAGCUCGUAGUUGAAUUUCGGAAUUUGUCGGUUGGUCGGGCUUCACUGUCCGCACUGGCCUGAUGAAUUCCUACCUUCUGAAUAACCAGCAUGCUAUUAAUUUAGUGCGUUGGGGGAAGCAAGAGCUAUUACCUUGAAAAAAUUAGAGUGCUUAAAGCAGGCUCACGCUUGAAUAGAUUAGCAUGGAAUAAUAAAAUAGGACGGCUUGGUUCUAUUUUGUUGGUUUCUAGGAUCACCGUAAUGAUUAAUAGGAAGUUGGG
rnacentral:rRNA from 1 species